UUGUGGUCGCUUUGGGCAGCACAUAUAUACUAAAAUUGGAACGAUACAGAGAAGACUAGCAUGACCCCUGGGCAAGGAUGACUCAUGUGUUUGUGAAACAGCUUCCCUUGUG
ensembl:snRNA U6 U6 spliceosomal RNA